GGGCACACAGGGGCAGUGCAUCAACGUGAGGGGAUAAAAGGCUGGGCUGAGGAACAAGAAGGGCAAUGCUUGCAGCCUUCUGGAGUGGAGUGAUGUUACUCUGUAUGGGCAGACACCUGAAGCCUUCUGAUGUGAUGAACCAGCUUCUCUGAGUUAAAUUGUCAGUGCAACAGAGGAAGGACUGGCUGCUAGCACCAAGGCACUGCAGGAGCCUGGGACUUGUAUGUUGGAAGGCAUCAAAAGGAUGGAUCAGUUUUUUCUUAAUUUCAAAAACCCUUUCACUGUCAGUGCUUGGAAAUGAACCAUAUGAUCCCUUGAUUGCAGGGGUCCAGGGAGCUUUCUUACCUUAAAGUGCCCAGUUUUCCUGAACUUUUGGUGUAUGGACUGAUAGGCUGUCAGCAUGAUGAAGCCUGGGAUCAAGAAAUUGAAAGUGGACAGAGCAAAAAGGAAUGUGA